rnacentral:rRNA from 1 species
UACGUAGGGUGCAAGCGUUGUCCGGAAUUAUUGGGCGUAAAGAGCUCGUAGGCGGUCUGUUGCGUCGGCUGUGAAAACCCGGGGCUCAACCCCGGCCUGCAGCCGAUACGGGCAGACUAGAGUUCGGCAGGGGAGACUGGAAUUCCUGGUGUAGCGGUGAAAUUCGUAGAUAUCGGGAGGAACACCAGUGGCGAAGGCGGCGAUCUGGGCAGACACUGACGCUGAGGUGCGAAAGCGUGGGGAGCAAACAGG